rnacentral:rRNA from 1 species
UAAGCAUAUCAAUAAGCGGAGGAAAAGAAACUAACAAGGAUUCCCCUAGUAGCGGCGAGCGAAGCGGGAAGAGCUCAAAUUUAUAAUCUGGCACCUUUGGUGUCCGAGUUGUAAUCUCUAGAAGUGUUUUCCGCGUUGGACCGCACACAAGUCUGUUGGAAUACAGCGGCAUAGUGGUGAUACCCCAUUACACGGUGCGGACGCCCAGCGCUUUGUGAUACACUUUCGACGAGUCGAGUUGUUUGGGAAUGCAGCUCAAAUUGGGUGGUAAAUUCCAUCUAAAGCUAAAUAUUGGCGAGAGACCGAUAGCGAACAAGUACCGUGAGGGAAAGAUGAAAAGCACUUUGGAAAGAGAGUUAAAAGUACGUGAAAUUGUUGGAAGGGAAACGCUUGAAGUCAGACUUGCUUGCCGGGCUUGCUCGGUUUGCAGGCCAGCAUCAGUUUUCCGGGGCGGAUAAUGGCAGUUAGAAUGUAGCAGUCUCGGCUGUGUUAUAGCUUUCUGCUGGAUACGUCCUGGGGGACUGAGGAACGCAGCGUGCCGUAUGGCGAGGGCUUCGGUCCUUUCACGCUUAGGAUGCUGGUGGAAUGGCUUUAAACGACCCGUCUUGAAACACGGACCAAGGAGUCUAACAUGCUUGCGAGUAUUUGGGUGUCAAACCCGGAUGCGUAAUGAAAGUGAAUGGAGGUGGGAAGCGCAAGCUGCACCAUCGACCGAUCUGGAUUUUCUAAGAUGGAUUUGAGUAAGAGCACGUAUGUUGGGACCCGAAAGAUGGUGAACUAUGCCUGAAUAGGGCGAAGCCAGAGGAAACUCUGGUGGAGGCUCGUAGCGGUUCUGACGUGCAAAUCGAUCGUCAAAUUUGGGUAUAGGGGCGAAAGACUAAUCGAACCAUCUAGUAGCUGGUUCCUGCCGA